ACAUUUUAUUUUUAUAGAUAGAUCAUAUUCUUUGCCAAAUCAUCUAAUUUUAAGAAUUAUAUUUCUAUAUUUAUGCAGCUCAUUUUUCAGGAUGAUUCUGUAUGCGUUGAAAGGAUCGUAUACGGAGAAAAAAAACAGUACUGAUUACUAUUUGUACAGUACUAAGAAGUGUUUUGGAAAAAAACGAGAUUAAAGAUGCUUGGAACAGUGCAGGGUGUUAUGCUAAAACUACUGGCUGCUGAACAUCUGUGAACAUCUUUCUAAAACACUUCUAAGUACUGUACGAAAAAGUAAUCAUUACUGUUUUUUUUAUUCUCUAUGUACCCAAUGAUGGAAAUAAAAAUUAAGAAUUCAAAAGUUAUUUAAAAAUUGAUAUAAAAAUACAAGACGUGUCACUAGCAAUUACUUUAGUUAUGAUAGAUCUAUUGCAAAUUAAUACUAAUACUAAUAAUAAUAUUAAUGAUAUUUUCCCCUACUUUUAAGUCUACAGUUUCUGUAUAAAACAGCUCGCUCUUGUCCACAGUCAUCAGUUCCAAACAAAGUAGUAAACUUAUAAUCGUUUCACAGAAAUAAAGUCAUUAUGAAAAUUUUAUUGAUUUUCCUUGGUGUCGUGGCAAUUUAUGCAGUGGUUGUCAAUGCUAAAUUUAAGAUUCCAGAAGUAAAUGGCACGACUUCACUACCUAAAGAUGCAUAGAGAAUAUAAAAAUGUGGGCCAAUACACGUAUAUAACAUCACAGAUUUAACUUAAUCUUAUGUGAAUUGGUAAUUCUUUCGAGUAGAGUAUCGGUCGCAAAAAAAUUGUGAUUUUCAAUCGACUUACCUAUAAACUUAACACAUUGUUCUCUAAAAUUAUGACCAUCUGAAUAAUAAAUAAUGUGUUAACU